rnacentral:tRNA from 1 species
CCAGAGGUGGCGGAGUGGCCAAUCGCAACAGACUGUAAAUCUGUCGGGAAUUUCCCUACGGAGGUUCGAAUCCUCCCCUCUGGA